UACGAAGGGGGCUAGCGUUGCUCGGAAUCACUGGGCGUAAAGCGCACGUAGGCGGCUUCUUAAGUCAGGGGUGAAAUCCUGGAGCUCAACUCCAGAACUGCCUUUGAUACUGAGAAGCUUGAGUUCGGGAGAGGUGAGUGGAACUGCGAGUGUAGAGGUGAAAUUCGUAGAUAUUCGCAAGAACACCAGUGGCGAAGGCGGCUCACUGGCCCGAUACUGACGCUGAGGUGCGAAAGCGUGGGGAGCGAACAGG
rnacentral:rRNA from 1 species